ACCUACGGGGCGCAGCAGUGAGGGAUAUUGGUCAAUGGGCGCGAGCCUGAACCAGCCAAGUCGCGUGAGGGAAGACGGUCCUAUGGAUUGUAAACCUCUUUUGCCGGGGAGCAAGGGCGGGGACGUGUCCCGGCCCGGAGAGUACCCGGAGAAAAAGCAUCGGCUAACUCCGUGCCAGCAGCCGCGGUAAUACGGAGGAUGCGAGCGUUAUCCGGAUUUAUUGGGUUUAAAGGGUGCGUAGGCGGGCUUUUAAGUCAGCGGUAAAAAUUCGGGGCUCAACCCAUAGCCUGCAUUUGAAACUGUAU
rnacentral:rRNA from 1 species